UAUAUCAGAGGGCAGACCAAAGGUGACCACCAAAAUCAUCCUGGAAAGACCUCUGGGAGAGAUGGCAGAGCUUGAUCCACUCUGCAUGCCAAGCUGGCUGCUGGCAAGGAGGUUGAUCAUCUCUGAUGGCCUUCAGCCACAGAGCAGCCACAGCCUUAAUGAGAGACCCCUGCCUUGAACCCUUCGUUUAAUCGAUGAACGAAUACUCAGUGAGUACUGAGUAUGUGUCAGCACAUCAGCUCUUUUCCUCUUCGUAUCAGCCCUAUGAGACAUGCAAGAAGAGUGUUUAUGCCCUCUUUACAGAUGAGGCGACUGAGGCACAGCGUUGGGGGCCAUCGCCAGAACUGAGAGUGACUAUGCAGAUACUGGAAUCCACUUCCCUUCACCAUUAGACCAGCGUUUUCCCACUCUAUUGUAGAUGGAACAUUACAGAACAACCCUCACUUCUCAAUUCUACGAAACCACUGAUUAUUAAGGGAGAAGACAAGAGUUGGCCAUAUCUCUACACAUCUCAUUAAAAAAUGUUUCAAUUUAAGAACUCUGGGCUG
rnacentral:lncRNA from 10 species